UGUUUCAUAACAAAGUUCUUUCUGUUUUUUUGUUAAAUAUUCCAAAGAAAUCGUGCAUAUUUAUAUAUUACAUCUCAACAAAUUUUUGCUUUAAAACUGAAUAACAACCAUCAAAAAGUAAUUGUGUAGGAAAAAUGAUUGAAUUGGUGAAUUGAAAAAAGUACACAAUGAAAUGUUGACGAACGUAUACAUUUUGAGAAUCGCUCCAACCAUUGUUCGCAUCCUUGAACGUGCCGAAUUCAUACUUUCUGUUUAAAGAAAGAUAAAAAUGCAUUUUCCGAACAUCCAUUGUCCAGGGGUCAGUUUUUAUUAUCCCGGCGAGAUGGCGGUCCAGCAAAGGAAACAAUAAUUUGGAACAUUCUGCAAAAAAAAUUUCCAAAAUAUUACGUGGCUCAGUGAAAACCAAUAAGACAAUAAAAUUCAAACACUUUUUUUCGGAAAAUCGUUCGAAAAUACGGGAUUCAAUAGGAUGUGAUACUGACCGAGGAGUAUUGGAGAAAGGUGAUACUAAUUGUUAAAAAUUAGUAAAUUCUACGAAAGUAAAGGGAUUCAAGCGAAAUGGUGUUUUUUGUCUCAAUGGAAAGGAAAAGAAAGGAAAGGAAAGGAAAUGAUCAACGAAGACAUGUGUUGCAUAUAAAAAAACUCAAGGGAAGUUUUGUGGUCAUUGGGUGACUUCAAUUUCUGCAGAAGGCCUGUUUGGUCAGUAAUUAAAGGAACUCUUGCAGCUCCAGAAGAAGAGAUGUCUGCUCACAGGAAUCUUAUUUGCUGUCAUCGUAUCCUUAUUACUGCUAUGCUAUAAUAGUCAUAAUAGUUAUUUCCCGCAUUAUUCUAAAGGAUUCUCAAGAGAUUACUACUACUCUAUUAUACUACUCUGCUCAACUAUAAGGGUUACUCUAAAGGAUAAGGAGGAUGUAGGAGAAGAAAAGUGG